UUAAGAAAAUGAAAACCUUCCAGAAUGUGAGAUCCCAUAUUCACACCAAAAUAGGGCAGCUGAGAACUGACAGUCUUAACCAGUUAUCCUUGAAAUGUGUUUUGCAUCCAGGAGUCAUACCUUAGAUAAGAAGGGUUUUCUCAUCAAGAGAAAAUUGACUUGAAUACCUCCACAUACGCUUGUCCCCAGAAGUCUCCUGAAGCUCAUGGAGGCAUAGAAGAGCAGGUGGGAGAAAGAUGAUGCCAGUGAUGGAGAUAAUCAAAUAGGGGAAGCAGGAUAGAAUCAGAGAGACCUAAGGCCAGCAGCUGAGAGCCUGGAGUGUCAUCACAACUCUGAAUCACAAUGUGAUGCUUUCGUUUCUAUAGCAACGGACAGUCCUCUUAAAUCUAACUUUGUGACUUCAUCUUAAUAUCAGGCAAUAAAGGGUGAAUUGUGAUGUAAAGGAAAAA